UUAAUGUUUGUUUUUUUGUUUUUUUUUUUAAAAGCUGUUUAGUUUUAUGUCAGAUGUAACCAAAAGGACACAUUUUAAAAGCUCCACUUUUGUCUCGUCAGUCCAAGGAAGUGCUUUAGAUGUUAUUCUGGCUUCUUUUGUCGCCUUUGUGCACAUUUAUCACUUUUCCAUGAUUUCUUCAUUUCUGGCUUCUUCUCAGCCGGCACUGAUGAACUGCCUGCUCUGUGAACAAAAACAAACAUUUAAAUGGAUAACAACAACUAAGUGAUUCCCCAGGGGCAUGGAGCACCUUUGACAGGUUCUGGAAGAGUCAUUGUUAGUGAUUCAGAAGGGGGAAGGUCCAUUAAUAUGAGGAUAGUCGGUUAUAAGAGGCUGACUUUUAAGAUCCUGGGAGCUGCCCAUGAGACCUCAUGUGACCUGCUGAACAGGUCACCAAGAAAGAAUAGUGCUGGAAUCACAGUCACCCAGAGACACACGCCCAUGUGCACUUUAAAUGGAAAAGGGUGC